rnacentral:tRNA from 1 species
GCGGAUAUGGCGAAACUGGCAGACGCGUUAGCUUCAGGUGCUAAUCGGGGUAACUCGGUGCAGGUUCAAGUCCUGUUAUCCGCA